rnacentral:rRNA from 1 species
AUUGAACGCUGGCGGCAGGCCUAACACAUGCAAGUCGAACGAGUGGCGGACGGGAGAGUAAUGUCUGGGAAACUGCCUGAUGGGGGGGGAUAACUACUGGAAACGGUAGCUAAUACCGCAUACCAUCAGAUGGGCCCAGGUGGGUUGAGCUAGUAGGUGGGGUAAUGGCUCACCAAGGCGACGAUCCCUAGCUGGUCUGAGAGGAUGACCAGCCACACUGGAACUGAGACACGGUCCAGACUCCUACGGGAGGCAGCAGUGGGGAAUAUUGCACAAUGGGCGCAAGCCUGAUGCAGCCAUGCCGCGUGUGUGAAGAAGGCCUUCGGGUUGUAAAGCACUUUCAGCGGGGAGGCGUUACUCGCAGAAGAAGCACCGGCUAACUCCGUGCCAGCAGCCGCGGUAAUAC